UACGGAGGGAGCUAGCGUUGUUCGGAAUUACUGGGCGUAAAGCGUACGUAGGCGGUUAUUCAAGUCAGAGGUGAAAGCCCGGGGCUCAACCCCGGAACGGCCUUUGAAACUAGAUAGCUAGAGUCUUGGAGAGGUUAGUGGAAUUCCGAGUGUAGAGGUGAAAUUCGUAGAUAUUCGGAAGAACACCAGUGGCGAAGGCGGCUCACUGGCCCGAUACUGACGCUGAGGCGCGAAAGCUAGGGGAGCGAACAGG
rnacentral:rRNA from 1 species